rnacentral:rRNA from 1 species
GAGUUUGAUUCUGGCUCAGAACGAACGCUGGCGGCGCGUCUUAAACAUGCAAGUCGAACGGCAAGAGAAAAGCUUGCUUUUCUCCUAGAGUGGCGGACUGGUGAGUAACACGUGGGUGACAUACCUUUUAGUUGGGGAUAGCUAUUAGAAAUAGUAGGUAAUACCGAAUACGAUCAUGCAGGUUAGAGCUGUAUGAGGAAAGGAGCUAAGGCUUCGCUGGAAGAAUGGCUCGCGGCCCAUUAGCUAGUUGGUGAGGUAACGGCCCACCAAGGCAAUGAUGGGUAUCCGGCCUGAGAGGGUGAACGGACACAUUGGGACUGAGAUACGGCCCAGACUUCUACGGGAGGCAGCAGUUAAGAAUAUUCCGCAAUGGACGCAAGUCUGACGGAGCGACGCCGCGUGGAUGAAGAAUGCCGAAAGGUUGUAAAAUCCUUUUAAGCCUGAUGAAUAAGCAGAGGAGGGAAUGCCUUUGCGGUGACAGUAGGGCUGAAUAAGCAACGGUA